UAACAGGGUGCUUGCACCGCUGACGACCGGCGCACGGGUGCGUAACGCGUAUACAAUCUACCUUUUACAGAGAGAUACCCCAGAGAAAUUUGGAAUAAUACCUCAUAAUAUUUUUGCUCGGCAUCGAGUGACAAUUAAAGUUUCGGCGGUAAAAGAUGAGUAUGCGUCCUAUUAGCUAGUUGGUAAGGUAACGGCUUACCAAGGCGACGAUAGGUAGGGGUCCUGAGAGGGAGAUCCCCCACACUGGUACUGAGACACGGACCAGACUCCUACGGGAGGCAGCAGUGAGGAAUAUUGGUCAAUGGGCGAAAGCCUGAACCAGCCAUGCCGCGUGCAGGAAGACUGCCCUAUGGGUUGUAAACUGCUUUUAUACAGGAAGAAACACUCCCUCGUGAGGGAGCUUGACGGUACUGUAUGAAUAAGCACCGGCUAACUCCGUGCCAGCAGCCGCGGUAAUACGGAGGGUGCAAGCGUUAUCCGGAAUCAUUGGGUUUAAAGGGUCCGUAGGCGGAUUAAUAAGUCAGGGGUGAAAUCCCACAGCUUAACUGUGGAACUGCCUUUGAUACUGUUAGUCUUGAGUUAUAUGGAAGUAGAUAGAAUGUGUAGUGUAGCGGUGAAAU
rnacentral:rRNA from 1 species